UGUGUGCGUGCGCUGGAUGAUGUGUGUGUGUGUGUGUGCUGGAUGAUGUGUAGCACACACAUCAUCCAGCACACACACACAUACACACACACAUCAUCCAGCGCA